rnacentral:rRNA from 1 species
GAGUUUGAUUCUGGCUCAGAUUGAACGCUGGCGGCAUGCUUUACACAUGCAAGUCGAACGGCAGCACGAGUGCUUGCACUUGGUGGCGAGUGGCGAACGGGUGAGUAAUGCAUUGGAACGUGCCUUGUAUUGGGGGAUAACUGAGCGAAAGCUUAGCUAAUACCGCAUACGCCCUGAUGGGGAAAGCUGGGGAUCGUUUGACCUGGCGAUAUAAGAGCGGCCAAUGUCUGAUUAGCUAGUUGGUGAGGUAAAGGCUUACCAAGGCGACGAUCAGUAGCGGGUCUGAGAGGAUGAUCCGCCACACUGGGACUGAGAGACGGCCCAGACUCCUACGGGAGGCAGCAGUGGGGAAUUUUGGACAAUGGGGGGAACCCUGAUCCAGCCAUGCCGCGUGUCUGAAGAAGGCCUUCGGGUUGUAAAGGACUUUUGUUGGGGAGCAAAGGUAUCUGGUUAAGAGCUGGAGAUAUAGAGACCCAAGANGCAC